rnacentral:misc_RNA from 1 species
GAAGUCGUUACUUCAACCCUUGUGGAGGAGGACGCCGAAGGUGGGGCUAAUGACUGGGGUGAAGUCGUAACAAGGUAGCCGCACCGGAAGGUGCGGCUGGAUCACCUCCUAACAGGGAGACAACAAAAUGUAAAUAUUAAUUUUGUCACCUUAGGUCGAUCGGUAUCUCAGAUUCUUAUUAUUUAAGAAUUUCAGUUUCUAAGUUUUUUCUAGGUCACACCCAUCACUUUUUCCUGGGCCAUUAGCUCAGGUGGUUAGAGCGCACCCCUGAUAAGGGUGAGGUCCCUGGUUCAAGUCCAGGAUGGCCCAUAUCUCUAUGUUGGGGGUAUAGCUCAGUUGGUAGAGCGCCUGCUUUGCAAGCAGGAUGUCAGCGGUUCGAGUCCGCUUACCUCCACUGAAUACCACCUCUUACAUAUAGUUGAAGUGGGAAAUUGUUUUGAGUCGUGUCCUAAUUUGCUCUGAGCGAAUCUAGCUUCCUAUUUUAUCCAAGAAAUAAGAUGCUGGACUCAUUGAAUUUUUUUUCAUUGUUUUCAGAGAACCUUGACAACUGCAUAGAUUAUUUUUAAAGACAAUAAGCAUCUUUAAUGAUGCAGAUUUAUUAUUUGUGCGAAUGCAUUAAAUAACAAUUCUAUUAAGCUGAUGCUUCAAUUAUUGAAGUUAUUGGUCAAGCUACAAAGGGCUCACGGAGGAUACCUAGGCACACAGAGGCGAUGAA